AUUAAAUUAGUAUUCUUCUUUAACAGAAUGCCCUAUGUGAACAGUGGUGUUUAUCUCGAGCUUACAAAAUUGGAUUACAACAACUGUCAAGCAGAGCAUUGUGCGGAAUGGGAACAAAUCCAAAGGUGGUAUACUGAAGCAGGACUAGAGGGAUUUGGGUUGAGCAAAGAAAGUCUACUAUUUGCUUACUUUAUAGCAGCAGCCAGCAUAUUUGAGCCUGUGCAUGGGCUAAAACUGCUGCAUUGCUUCAGACACUGAGGUUGAGCAUAAAUGAUGAAGAAACUAAGAGUGCUUUUGUAGAUUUGUUCAAUAACAGAAUCUACGGACGAAACUACUCAAACAAGCAGUUGAACAAGAGAGAGAGUUCUCCUGGAGAUUUUGCUGACAAACCUUGAUUACCUUGGGUUACAAAUGUUUCGGUGUCAUGGUCACGAAUUUUCUCAUUAUUUUGAAUCAAGCAUGGCAAGGUUGGCUGUCAAGGUGGGAAAAUGAAGGAACCUGCUUUGGAAGAGAACUGAGCUGAUUGUGCAAAUUAUAAAUGUAAUGGCUGGAAGUCACUAACAGAGUCUGUCACGGGCUCCGUGAUUAUCAACGCAACAAGGUCAAUUAUAGAGACUAGAGUGUGGUAUUAAUUAAACGUUUAUUUAAUAAAGUUUAUUUCAUUAUAAAGAAGUUGGAACUUAUUUUUAUAUAUUUAAUUAAGAUGUGUAAAAGCUCUUAUAGAACUGUUCUGCGAUGUAUCAUGAGGAGAAAGAUUCUAGCGACUCGUAUGGUGGUUUGUGGUGGUCCACGGUGAAUAACUCCGAUAGAGCCACGUGCAUGGAUUUGGAUGAUCAAGUCAGCAUGUGAGCUUAGAGAGUGAGAAUAAGGGAAGUUGUGUAUACUUGCAAGAUCUCCUUGCAUAUAUAAACAUUCUUGGCGGAAAAAGUCAUUAGGUUUGUUAAGUGUCA